rnacentral:rRNA from 1 species
UGCCAGCAGCCGCGGUAAUACGGAGGGUGCAAGCGUUGUUCGGAUUUAUUGGGCGUAAAGCGAGUGUAGGCGGUUCGACAAGUCGGGUGUGAAAUCCCAGGGCCCAACCCUGGAACUGCACCCGAUACUGUCGGGCUAGAGUCCCGGAGAGGAUGGCGGAAUUCCCAGUGUAGGGGUGAAAUCCGUAGAUAUCGGGAGGAACACCAGUGGCGAAGGCGGCUUUCUGGACCGAUACUGACGCUGAGACGCGAAAGCGUGGGGAGCAAACAGGAUUAGAUA